GCCCAGAUAGCUCAGUUGGUAGAGCAGCGGUUUCGUAAACCGCAGGUCGCAGGUUCAAGUCCUGUUCUGGGCU
rnacentral:tRNA from 2 species